rnacentral:ncRNA from 1 species
UAACCCCCGCCGGGAGGCGGGGCUGGCAUGGCAGGAGUCAGCAGAGGCCAUAGUACGCGGGUGGUGCACCACCUGCGGAAGGGC